rnacentral:lncRNA from 1 species
UUUUCCUGAGACUGGUCCAUGAUCUAGCUCUGACUGUCCUGGAACUCACUAUGUAGACUAUUUCUGACUUCAAACUCUCAGAAAUACCACUGGCUUCUGGCUCUGCCUCCCUAGUGCUGGAAUUAAAGGUGUCUACCUCUAUGCCUAGCUAAACCCAUGUCUUUUGAAAAUAUUAAUCAUAAAUUCCACCUAGAUGUCAGGCAUGGUGGUGCAUGCUUGUGAUACCAGAUACGUAAGAGGCUAAAGUAGGAGAAGUACAAAUUCCGGGCUUACCUAGGUAGGCCAUUUAAGAUUAUCUCAGAAUAGAAAGUGAAAAUACUGGGGUUACAUCUCAGUGAUAGAAUACCAGCAGGAAGUCCUAGGGUCAGUCCCACAUACAGAAAACAAAAAUAGUCUAGCUUGUAACCUGCUUAGAUAACAUUAUUCAAUUUUAGCUGGACAAAAUGAUCUGACACAAGGUUUCUUCUCAGUGUAACUUAUGGUAGCAUACAGGACUGACUGCCUACUUUGGGGAUCAGAUGCCUUCAUAUCUGUGUCUUGCUGCUGCAGCUGCCCAAAUAACAAAGGAGAUUAUCUUAUACUUGUCAUAGCCUAAGAAUAUGUUAAUGGUCAUGGCACAGUGUGUUCUGAGUGUAUCAUUCUCACACCAUGUGAAGUUGAGUGAUCUGAAGCUAUUAAACAUCAUAAAGUGGGUGCUCCUGUACUUGAUGUGCAUCCUACUGGACAGGAAGCAUUGUGGAAGGAAGAUGAUUAGUAAAGAGGAGGAUUGGGAGUAGCAGGAAAGGAAACUCACACCCACCCAUUUUUCCCCACACCCCUCCUUGAAGGUAAGCAUCGAAAUGUUUUGUAUUAGUGUAGUAGUACAGAUAGUUUCAUAACUACAAACAUUUGAUGUUUGAAGUGGUAGUAUUAUGUGUGCAGUAUUUAUGUAUGUAUGUAUGUAUGUAUGUAUGUAUGUAUAGGACAGUAAUUAAACUGCAUGGAGUUCUGUAACUCUGCUCCAUUUAACAGGUCACAGAUACAAACACAGUAACAUAGUGAUUAUGAAGUUGAAGUUGUUAGGGUGUAAAAUCCAAGCCUUGCCCCUUUGUAGCUGAUACAAACCUUUCUUUGCCCUAAUUUCCUGAUUUGGAAAUAGGUGCAACAAUAGUCUUCUCUACUUCAACAUUAUUCUAAAGGAUGUGUUAAAAUAUUCAAGUUUUCUUUAUUGCUGGAUCUUUCCCUUGGACUCUGGAUGGUUCUUAGUUGUUCAUGUAAAGUUGGCAUGGGCACCACAAGCAAUGCAGGGGUCAUCUGCCUCACUGUUGAGUCCCUUGUUUCCAUGGGACUUGUUCUGUUAGACCAGUGUUCUCUUGUCUUCUGGGUAGUUUGCUGCCCUGUGGUGAACCAACUGGUUUGCAGACAGUGCUUAAUUGAGAAUAUGCUAUUCUUAACAUUGACUCUGGAUUCACGUUUGUUUUGUGAUCUUAAAUUAUAUUUGAAUUCAAAACCUUGUGACUUUUGUAUACUUUCUCCUGUUUGAAUUAAGAUUUAAGGAAUUAGAUUAGUUUAUAGGUAAAUGAUAGGGACAUUCAUAAGGAUACACACACACAUAACUGCUUUUUUUUCUUUUUUGGGGGGGUCAAGGGGAAGGGUUUGGGGUUCUUUUGAUUUGGUUUGUUGUUGUUGUUGUUGUUGUUGUUGACAGGGUUUCUCUGUGUAGCCUUGGCUGUCCUGAAACUCACUCUAUAGACCAGGCUGUCUUUGUAUGCAGAGAUCUACCUGCCUCUGCCUCCCAAGUGCUGGGAUGAAAGGUGUGCACUAUUACCACCUGACUCUUUUGUUUCUAUAAUUAUAAUCUGUACCAAUUUGACUAGCAAACCAAAGGCUAUAAUUUAUUUGUUCUCCGUGUUUUAUAAGACAAGGUCACCUAUAUUCUGAAUUCAUUUGGUAGUCAAGGCUGCCUUGAACUCCUUGCUCCUUCCCAAGUGCUGUUAUCACAGACAUGUGUCUCCAUGCCCAGCAAAAGCUGUAAUUUUUUAUAGAAUAAAGAACUGUUCUUCUGGACUGUGGAGCUAGGUCAGCAUGCGCUUAUAAUCUUAGGACUGAGAGAGAGGAUCCCAGGGGCUCACUAGUACACACAUUGAUAGGAUGAAUCUUUUUAAGAGGCUGUGGUGAAUUUUGUCUAUUAAUUUGCUUCCUUAUAAAUUGGAUAGUUUACCUGGCGAGUAAACCAGAGUAGAAACAAUUUUUUUCAAGCUAAGACCAAUAAUUUUUUGUUCUGUUUUGUUUUAAGUUCUUUGAGAGAUUCAAGUGUCGUACAAUGUGUGCUGAUCAUAUGCAUUGCAUCCAACUCCUCCCAGAUCCCAACCUUUCCUCUUCCACCCAGUUUUGGGGUAUCUUUAAACAUUUUUUUCCAAGACAAGUUUGUGCUGCCCAAAUAAUCUUAGAUUUGUAGUUUUCUACUAGAGCCUGUUCAGCUUACCAGGGGCUACAGCCUUAGAGAAAACCAGCUCUUCCUUUUCCAGUAGUUAAUAGUUCCCAGAGGUGAGAUUGUGUGCCUCAUUUCCUUUCCAUGUUGGGGUUUGUUCUGGCUUGGGCUUAGUAUCUCACACACUGUAGGAAUGUACUUGGUUACUCCCAUGAUGUUCAUCCACUGUUGUACUGAUACGUGCCUCUUGCUGCCGCUGGUUAUUAUUGUUCUUCCCAGAGCUCACAGCUGGACAGCCUCUGGUAACUUACAGCUACCUUCCAGCACUAUGAAAGCCACAGUAAGGACAGAACUUGCAGUUCUGAACCGGCUUGAUUUUAUCAUGUCCUAUGACUCAAUGUGAUGUCUUUAGCAGUAGGGUCUUACCAUCAAGUUCUGGAUGGUAACUAAAAGCAUUGGCCUAUAAUGUGGUGGUGGUGGUGGUGGUGGUGGUGGUGGUGGUGGGUCUUUGGGAACCAUUGGCCAAUAACUCCAAAAGAAGUAACUCAUUCCUGGCACUGAGUUUUUUAUUUGUUAGUCUCUGUUGUUGAAUAAGGGCAUUGUUGCCUAACAUGUUACAGGGUGACUCCUUUAAAAAGGAGUUAAAAUUAAAAUUAAAUUAAAAUUCUGUAUAUUUAGAAACGUCUGUGGUAGAUUUUCAUGUUUCUUUUUUGGAAAGGUCUUUAUAAAGUGUCAUUUGUCUCUCCUAUACUCACUCUACCUUAAACUCUGCUCCUUUGCCCCACAGUAACCUGUUCUGUUCCACUGUUUCCUUUACUAGUGCAUUCUAUCUCUUUUCACUUUAAAGUUCCUCUGUAUGACUGCUUAGUAAGUUCCUGACCUCUAUGGGUAUUCUAAAUGAAAUACACAUAUUUGAUGAUUCAAAGCUAAUGUCCAGAGAUGACAGAAAAUGUGGCAUUUGUCUUUCUAGGUCUGGGAUACCUCAGAAGGAUUAUUUCCAGCUCAGAAAUCAAUCAAUCUCUCUCUCUCUCUCUCUCUCUCUCUCUCUCUCUCUUUCAUUCAUUCAUUCAUAUUUAUUUAUUAUAUCAAGUACACUGUAGCUGUCUUCAGACACUCCAGAAGAGGGCAUCAGAUCUCAUUACAGAUGGUUGGGAGCCACCAUGUGGUUGCUGGGAAUUGAACUCAGGACCUCUGGAAGAAUAGUCAGUACUCUUAACCACUGAGCCAUCUCUCCAACCCAAGAUCUUUCAUGUAAAUCAUUUGAAACUUAAAUACCAGUUAGGAUAGUAGUAGUCCUCAAGUGAAUAGAUAAUUUCAACUUAGCUUCCAUUGAAACUCCCUGCUUUAUUUUUGGAAAAAUUAGCCACCUUAUCCUAAAAUUCAUAUGGAACUAGGAUCUAGAGGAAUCAAAACUAUUGAAAGAAUAAUGUUGGGAGUGUCCAGUUUCUGGAUUUGAAGACAUAAUACAAGUGCAUAGUGACUGUGGCCUAUGUAAAGUUAACCAUACUCUGAGGGACAGGACCAAAGUCCAGGUAGACGCACAUUCCAAUCAGGUGACCAUCUUUUUUGUUUUGUUUUUAAGCAAGGUCAAUAAAACAAUUUGGUGAAGCAAGAAUAGUCUUUAACAGUCUUUUACUGGGGCACAUGGGUAUCUAAAAAACUGAAGUUGGGGUCUUUCCAAAUAUCAAAACACACACACACACACACACAC